ensembl:snRNA U6 U6 spliceosomal RNA
GUGCUCGCUUGGGCAGCACAUAUACUAAAAUUGGAAUCAUACAGAGGUUUGCUGGCCCCUGGACAAGGAUGACAUGCAAAUUCAAAAAACGUUCCACAUUUAC